UGGGGAAUAUUGCACAAUGGGGGAAACCCUGAUGCAGCGACGCCGCGUGAAGGAAGAAGUAUCUCGGUAUGUAAACUUCUAUCAGCAGGGAAGAUAGUGACGGUACCUGACUAAGAAGCCCCGGCUAACUACGUGCCAGCAGCCGCGGUAAUACGUAGGGGGCAAGCGUUAUCCGGAUUUACUGGGUGUAAAGGGAGCGUAGACGGACUGGCAAGUCUGAUGUGAAAGGCGGGGGCUCAACCCCUGGACUGCAUUGGAAACUGUUAGUCUUGAGUGCCGGAGAGGUAAGCGGAAUUCCUAGUGUAGCGGUGAAAUGCGUAGAUAUUAGGAGGAACACCAGUGGCGAAGGCGGCUUACUGGACGGUAACUGACGUUGAGGCUCGAAAGCGUGGGGAGCAAACA
rnacentral:rRNA from 1 species